AUUGAACGCUGGCGGCAGGCUUAACACAUGCAAGUCGAGCGAGCGGCGGACGGGUGAGUAAUGUCUGGGAAACUGCCUGACGGAGGGGGAUAACUCCUGGAAACGGUAGCUACUACCGCAUACCAUCAGAUGCGCCCAGGUGGGAUUAGCUAGUGGGUGGGGUAACGGCUCACCUAGGCGACGACCCCUAGCUUGUCUGAGAGGAUGACCAGCCACACGGGAACUGCGGCACGGUCCAGACUACUACGGGAGGCAGCGGUGGGGAAUCUUGCCCAAUGGGCGCGAGCCUGAUACAGCCAUGCCGCGUUUGUGAAGAAGGCCUUCGGGUUGUAAAGCACUUUCAGCGGGGGGGCGUUACCCGCGGAAGAAGCACCGGCUAACUCCGUGCCAGCCGCCGCGGUAAUAC
rnacentral:rRNA from 1 species